AACGCACAUUGCGCCCGCUAGUAUUCUGGCGGGCAUGCCUGUUCGAGCGUCAUUUCAACCCUCAAGCCCUGCUUGGUGUUGGGGUCCUAUAGUAUUGUAGGCCCUGAAAACUAGUGGCGGGCUCGCUAUAACUCCGAGCGUAGUAGUAAUAUCUCGUUUAGGAAGUGUAGCGGGUUCUAGCCGUUAAACCCCCCAUUUUAUAAGGUUGACCUCGGAUCAGGUAGGAAUACCCGCUGAACUUAA
rnacentral:misc_RNA from 1 species